rnacentral:tRNA from 1 species
AGGGGCUUAGGUUAAACCUUUAAACCAAGGGCCUUCAAAGCCCUAAAUAAGAGACACUCUCUUAGCCCCUG